rnacentral:rRNA from 1 species
UACAGAGGGUGCAAGCGUUGUUCGGAAUUAUUGGGCGUAAAGGGCGCGUAGGCGGCGCGGAAAGUCAACGGUGAAAGCUCGGGGCUCAACCCCGAGUCGGCCGUCGAUACUUCUGUGCUCGAGCACUGUAGAGGCAGGUGGAAUUCCCAGUGUAGAGGUGAAAUUCGUAGAUAUCUGGAGGAACACCGGUGGCGAAGGCGGCAUCCUGGACCGGCAUUGACGCUGAGGUGCGAAAGCGUGGGGAGCAAACAGG